AGUGAACGCUGGCGGUAGGCCUAACACAUGCAAGUCGAACGGCAGCACAGAGGAGCUUGCUCCUUGGGUGGCGAGUGGCGGACGGGUGAGGAAUACAUCGGAAUCUACUCUGUCGUGGGGGAUAACGUAGGGAAACUUACGCUAAUACCGCAUACGACCUACGGGUGAAAGCAGGGGAUCUUCGGACCUUGCGCGAUUGAAUGAGCCGAUGUCGGAUUAGCUAGUUGGCGGGGUAAAGGCCCACCAAGGCGACGAUCCGUAGCUGGUCUGAGAGGAGGAUCAGCCACACUUGAACUGAGACACGGUCCAGACUCCUACGGGAGGCAGCAGUGGGGAAUAUUGGACAAUGGGCGCAAGCCUGAUCCAGCCAUACCGCGUGGGUGAAGAAGGCCUUCGGGUUGUAAAGCCCUUUUGUUGGGAAAGAAAUCCAUCUGGUUAAUACCCGGGUGGGAUGACGGUACCCAAAGAAUAAGCACCGGCUAACUUCGUGCCAGCCGCCGCAGUAA
rnacentral:rRNA from 1 species